UACGGAGGGGGCUAGCGUUAUUCGGAAUUAUUGGGCGUAAAGAGCGUGUAGGCGGCCUGGUAGGUCUGCUGUGAAAACUCGAGGCUCAACCUCGAGAUGUCGGCGGAAACCAUCUGGCUAGAGUCCGGAAGAGGAGAGUGGAAUUCCUGGUGUAGCGGUGAAAUGCGCAGAUAUCAGGAAGAACACCUAUGGCGAAGGCAGCUCUCUGGGACGGUACUGACGCUGAGACGCGAAAGCGUGGGGAGCGAACAGG
rnacentral:rRNA from 1 species